GAUGAACGCUAGCGGCAGGCUUAAUACAUGCAAGUCGAGGGGCAGCGCGGGUAGCAAUACCUGGCGGCGACCGGCAAACGGGUGCGGAACACGUACGCAACCUUCCUUUAAGUGGAGAAUAGCCCGGGGAAACCCGGAUUAAUACUCCGUAAUAUUAUGAAGUGGCAUCACUUUAUAAUUAUAGAUUUAUCGCUUAAAGAUGGGCGUGCGCCUGAUUAGGUAGUUGGCGGGGUAAUGGCCCGCCAAGCCUUCGAUCAGUAACUGGUGUGAGAGCACGACCAGUCACACGGGCACUG
rnacentral:rRNA from 1 species